UGAGUAACCUGCCCUUAACUCUGGGAUAAGCCUGGGAAACUGGGUCUAAUACCGGAUAUGACUCCUCUUCGCAUGGUGGGGGGUGGAAAGCUUUAUUGUGGUUUUGGAUGGACUCGCGGCCUAUCAGCUUGUUGGUGAGGUAAUGGCUCACCAAGGCUUCGACGGGUANCUGGUCUGAGAGGAUGGGCCAGCCCACAGUUGGGUACGUAG
rnacentral:rRNA from 1 species